CCUACGCGAGGCAGCAGUGCGGAAUACUGGACAAUGGGCGAAAGCCUGAUCCAGCAAUGCCGCGUGUGUGAAGAAGGCCUGCGGGUUGUAAAGCACUUUCAGUAGGGAAGAUAAUGACGGUACCUACAGAAGAAGCACCGGCUAACUCCGUGCCAGCAGCCGCGGUAAUACGGAGGGUGCAAGCGUUAAUCGGAAUUACUGGGCGUAAAGCGUGCGUAGGUGGUUUAGUAAGUCGGAUGUGAAAUCCCCGGGCUCAACCUGGGAAUUGCAUUCGAAACUGCUUCACUAGAGUCUAGCAGAGGGAUGGGGAAUUCCGGGUGUAGCGGUGAAAUGCGUAGAGAUCCGGAGGAACAUCAGUGGCGAAGGCGCCAUCCUGGGCUAAGACUGACACUGAGGCACGAAAGCGUGGGGAGCAAACAGGAUUAAAUACCCUGGUAG
rnacentral:rRNA from 1 species